AUGAGAUGGAUGCCAUACGAAAGGUAUUAUGGGCUUUGUUGAUAAUAGUCAGUCUAUGGGUUAAAUGUAGUAAAAAAGAGAUAUAUAUUUGAAAAGUAGUGAAGUCAAAGAUAUUUAAGUUAGAAGCAGGAUUAUGGUUUUUUGCUUUUGUGUAAACAUGUGCACUCCAGCACUCCUCCAAUUGUGGGCCACAAUAUUUUGGUAACCAAUUAUUUUCCAACAAUAUUCUUAUCUUUGUGAGUGUUGGUUUUUCCAUAUAUUUUGUGCUUGAGAAUCCAUAGUUUUAACUGGAAAGCUUUUUAUCUCGACUGAUUUCACUUUUUGACUGAUUGGUGCAACUUUUUAGUAAAUUUUCAUAAGGAUCAGAAAAAUCAUUGUGGAUUUGAUUGUGACUAAUUAGUUGCAUUGCUAGGAUGUGUUUUGUAUUAAAGCGUCCUCAGGUUUUAAUUACAAUCUUCUUUCCAGGCUUGUUCUUCACUUGAGGAGG
rnacentral:misc_RNA from 1 species